CAUAGCGGUGUGUGACGUUUGAAGGAGCUUGCUCCUGAUUGAUAAACAUUUGAGUGAGUGGCGGACGGGUGAGUAACACGUGGGUAACCUGCCCUAAAGUGGGGGAUAACAUUUGGAAACAGAUGCUAAUACCGCAUAAAACCUAACACCGCAUGGUGUAGGGUUGAAAGAUGGUUUCGGCUAUCACUUUAGGAUGGACCCGCGGUGCAUUAGUUAGUUGGUGAGGUAAAGGCUCACCAAGACCGUGAUGCAUAGCCGACCUGAGAGGGUAAUCGGCCACACUGGGACUGAGACACGGCCCAGACUCCUACGGGAGGCAGCAGUAGGGAAUCUUCCACAAUGGACGAAAGUCUGAUGGAGCAACGCCGCGUGAGUGAAGAAGGUUUUCGGAUCGUAAAACUCUGUUGUUGGAGAAGAAUGUAUCUGAUAGUAACUGAUCAGGUAGUGACGGUAUCCAACCAGAAAGCCACGGCUAACUACGUGCCAGCAGCCGCGGUAAUACGUAGGUGGCAAGCGUUGUCCGGAUUUAUUGGGCGUAAAGCGAGCGCAGGCGGUUUCUUAAGUCUGAUGUGAAAGCCUUCGGCUCAACCGAAGAAGUGCAUCGGAAACUGGGAAACUUGAGUGCAGAAGAGGACAGUGGAACUCCAUGUGUAGCGGUGAAAUGCGUAGAUAUAUGGAAGAACACCAGUGGCGAAGGCGGCUGUCUGGUCUGUAACUGACGCUGAGGCUCGAAAGCAUGGGUAGCAAACAGGAUUAGAUACCCUGGUAGUCCAUGCCGUAAACGAUGAGUGCUAGGUGUUGGAGGGUUUCCGCCCUUCAGUGCCGCAGCUAACGCAUUAAGCACUCCGCCCGGGGAGUACGACCGCAAGGUUGAAACUCAAAGGAAUUGACGGGGGCCCGCACAAGCGGUGGAGCAUGUGGUUUAAUUCGAAGCAACGCGAAGAACCUUACCAGGUCUUGACAUCCUUUGACCACUCUAGAGAUAGAGCUUUCCCUUCGGGGACAAAGUGACAGGUGGGUGCAUGGUUGUCGUCAGCUCGUGUCGUGAGAAGUUGGGGUUAAGUCCCGCAACGAGCGCAACCCUUAUUACUAGUUGCCAGCAUUAAGUUGGGCACUCUAGUGAAACUGCCGGUGACAAACCGGGAGGAAAGGUGGGGG
rnacentral:rRNA from 1 species